AAAUAUUGAAGCAUUAGAAGCGUCAUGGUUGACUUCUUUUUGAAUAGAAUGGGUUUCUGUGUUAACUUCAGAUGCAGUAGAUUUUGAAUAGUUGCCUCCAUGAGUGGAUGCAUUGUGACUGGCUGCGGAGUCCAUGACAGGCUCCUGUAUGAGUUGGUCAUCAUGUACAUCUGGAUGAGAACGGUCCACCGGAUCCUGUUUCAAACCAACAUGCCAAUCUUUUUUAACUCUCAGCCGAGGAAUCUCCAAUUUAUCAGACAUCAGGUAUCCUGAGACCCUGAAAAAGAGCACCUCACCA
rnacentral:misc_RNA from 1 species